CCUACUGGAGGCAUCAUUAGGGCAUCUUGCACAAUGGGGGAAACCCUGAUGCCUCACCGCCGCUUUCCCUCUUCCUUUUUUCUUUUUUUCCCCCCCUUUUCUCCGCUCCUCCUCUGACGGUAUCUGACUAAGAAGCACCGGCUAACUACGUGCCAGCAGCCGCGGUAAUACGGAGGGGGCAAGCGUUACCCGGAAUCACUGGGCGUAAAGGGGGCGCAGGCGGGAGAGCAAGUCAGGUGUGAAAUCCUAGGGCUUAACCCUCGAACUGCAUUUGAAACUGCUUCUCUAGAGUAUGGGAGAGGUAUGUGGAAUGCUUGGUGUAGGGGUAAAAUGCAUAGAGAUCACGAAGAAUUCUCAUUGCGAAGGCAGCAUGCCGGAACGUAACUGACGCUGAUGCACGAAAGCGUGGGUAGCGAACAGGAUUAGAUACCCGUGUAGUC
rnacentral:rRNA from 1 species